rnacentral:lncRNA from 1 species
AAGGAUGGUGGCUGGGGUUCAGUCUGCCGCUGCAAAUACCAAAAGCUGUCCUCAUUGAGUCAUCCCUCCCAGAGCAGGAAGAGCAGAGGUUCUGGGAAACAACCCCAAGGAGAGAGACAGGGCAUUUAUAAAACAGCAUGUAAGCAUCUCUGCAGUUGCUGUCCCCAGAGCCCACUUCCUGGAUAUUGCCAGCUGCCUGGACCAACCUUUCCGAAAGAUCAGCCAGGUCACAGUGAGGGUCAAAGCCCCCUUCCUCAGUCUAUUGCUCCGAAUCCUGGACCACACACUGCGUGCUGAGGCUCCAUCGCUGUGCUGGGUGAGGGGUGGAGGACUGUCCAGCUGACAGCCACCCAGGAGGCCUGCCCAGGAGACCCAGCCCAGCCUCUCCUUGGAACCUGAAGAACUCCAGGCAGCUGAUGGGACACUGGGGCCCAGCAGGAGGCCACUGGAGGCUCCAAGGGCUCUGAAAUGUUGAGAACUUCCCUGCAGGUACCAGCGAAGAGGGCAAGAACACAGCACUACUUCCUUGGAUACUGUUUCCCUCCUCAGAGGGGUUUUCUGAGCUGCCCUGGGUCCUGUGAGGAAGGCAGAAGUCCUAGCAGAGUAUGCCCACGCUGGUUAGUGCUGCUGCAAAGAUGAGCCGAAGACCAUGAGAGACCUCCAGGUGGUCCUUCUGGGGAGAAGAAAUGGGUUUUGGCCCCAAAUCCUUCUGCUGCAUUUUUCCCCUAUCCCUGGGAAGCCAUGAGACCUCAAACCUGUGUUCCCAAGGAGGCGAGCUGCUGUUCCCAGGUGAUGAUAUGAUGUGCUUGGGGAAAGUAAGUGGCUGCCAGACAUGGCUGAGAGCUGUUGUCACUGCCGUCAAGUGCAUGUCUCCAAGCCAUAUCACACGGCGUCCCUCGAUGUGAGGCCACAUGGCAAGUGGGCCGUGGAUCUCCCUCUGCCCUUUGCAAGCACGUAAGACAGCAGAUUUUGCAGAUACCUUGUGGCGCAGGGGAAUUUCCUUUGGCCAGGUCUGAAGAAAUAAAGCAGCAGGCACCGAGAACAAAGCCAAGGCUUUCAAAAGACAAGGAGCCAAAAAACUUACUCAAAAUAAAAGUAGUUUUAAAAUGUC